rnacentral:rRNA from 1 species
UACGGAGGGUGCAAGCGUUAUCCGGAUUCACUGGGUUUAAAGGGGGCGUAGGUGGGCAGGUAAGUCAGUGGUGAAAUCUCCGAGCUUAACUCGGAAACUGCCGUUGAUACUAUUUGUCUUGAAUAUUGUGGAGGUAAGCGGAAUAUGUCAUGUAGCGGUGAAAUGCUUAGAUAUGACAUAGAACACCAAUUGCGAAGGCAGCUUACUACACAACGAUUGACGCUGAGGCACGAAAGCGUGGGGAUCAAACAGG